GGCGGCGGCAUCGAAUGCGCGUGUGGCGGAAGCGCCGGCGGCAUGAACUACCCGGGCCGCGGCGCCCCGCGGAGCCCCGAGCGUAACGGCCGC
ensembl:miRNA